CCUACGGGUGGCUGCAGUGAGGAAUAUUGGUCAAUGGCCGGAAGGCUGAACCAGCCAUGCCGCGUGAAGGUCAGUGCCCUAUGGGCGUUAAACUUCUUUUGUGCGGGAGCAAUAAUGGUCACGUGUGGCCAGACGAGAGUACCGUACGAAUAAGCAUCAGCUAACUCCGUGCCAGCAGCCGCGGUAAUACGGAGGAUGCGAGCGUUAUCCGGAUUUAUUGGGUUUAAAGGGUGCGUAGGCGGGAUGCCAAGUCAGCGGUAAAAAUGCGGUGCUCAACGCCGUCGAGCAGUUGAAACUGGCGUUAUUGAGUGGGCGAGAAGUAUGCGGAAUGCGUGGUGUAGCGGUGAAAUGCAUAGAUAUCACGCAGAACUCCGAUGGCGAAGGCAGCAUACCGGCGCCCUACUGACGUUGAGGCUCGAAGGCGUGGGGAGCAAACAGGAUUAGAUACCCGGGUAGUC
rnacentral:rRNA from 1 species